rnacentral:lncRNA from 1 species
GGAAGGCGAUGAAGAACAAUAUCAGUGGACAAUCCCACCAUGUCUUCAUGAGACCAUGCAAACACAUCCUGGAAUUGGGUUAACAGUGUAACCAUGUCAUUCCGUUGAUUUGUGGUAAGGUCUGAACCAAUCUAGAUUAGCUUAGGGUUGUCUAAGGUUCCGAGAUUGAAAGGAGUGGUUUAAUCAAGAUUGGGUUUGGGUUUGUCGGCGACCCAUUCCUUAAUCUCUUGAGGUGUCUCAAUGUCCUCUUGGAUAUCCAUCAAGUCUGAGUCCAACUUUGCAUCAAAGUUACAGCCCUUGUGGAGAGAAGGCACCUCAUCAGCAAGUACA